rnacentral:rRNA from 1 species
UACAUGGGGUGCAAACGUUGCUCGGAAUCAUUGGGCGUAAAGCGCGCGUAGGCGGUUAUUUAAGUUGGAUGUGAAAGCCCUCGGCUUAACUGAGGAAGUGCAUCCAAAACUGAAUAGCUAGAGUACGAAAGAGGGUCGCGGAAUUCCCGGUGUAGAGGUGAAAUGCGUAGAUAUCUGGAGGAACACCGGUGGCGAAGGCGGCGUUCUGGACUGCAUCUGACACUGAAAGACGAAAGCCAGGGGAGCAAACGGG